ensembl:lncRNA
ACACCAACAUCACUCACCAAACACCAACAUCACUCACUAACCAAACACCAACAUCAACAUCACUCACUCACCAAACAUCAACAUCACUCACCAAACACCAACACCAACAUCAACAUCACUCCCUCACCAAACAUCAACAUCACUCACCAAACACCAACAUCAACACCAACACCAACAUCAACAUCACUCACUCACCAAACACCAACAUCACCCCCUCACCAAACACCAACAUCAACAUCACUCUCUCACCAAACACCAACAUCACUCACUCACCAAACACCAACAUCACUCACCAAACACCAACAUCAACAUCACUCACUCACCAAACACCAACAUCACUCCCUCACCAAACACCAACAUCACUCCCUCACCAAACACCAACAUCACUCACCAAACACCAACAUCAACAUCACUCACUCACCAAACACCAACAUCACUCCCUCACCAAACACCAACAUCACUCACUCACCAAACACCAACAUCACAUGUCUGUCCGUCUGCUCCUCGGGGGGUCAGAGCUUAUUAGCCGGAUCACUGGACUGCCAACAUCACCCCCUCACCAAACACCAACAUCACUCACUCCCUCACCAAACACCAAACACCAACAUCACUCACUCACCAAACACCAACAUCACUCCCUCACCAAACACCAAACACCAACAUCACUCACUCACCAAACACCAACAUCACUCACCAAACACCAACAUCACUCACCAAACACCAACACCAACAUCAACACCAACAUCACUCACUCACCAAACACCAAACACCAACAUCACUCACCAAACACCAACAUCACUCACCAAACACCAACAUCAACAUCACUCACUCACCAAACACCAACACCAACACCAACAUCAACAUCAACAUCACUCACUCACCAAACACCAACAUCACUCACUCACCAAACACCAACAUCACUCCCUCACCAAACACCAACAUCACUCACUCACCAAACACCAACAUCACUCCCUCACCAAACACCAACAUCACUCACUCACCAAACACCAACAUCAACAUCACUCACUAAACACCAACAUCACUCACUCACUCACCAAACACCAACAUCACUCACCAAACACCAACAUCACUCACCAAACACCAACAUCAACAUCACUCACUCACCAAACACCAACACCAACACCAACAUCAACAUCAACAUCACUCACUCACCAAACACCAACAUCACUCACUCACCAAACACCAACAUCACUCACUCACCAAACACCAACAUCAACAUCACUCACUAAACACCAACAUCACUCACUCACUCACCAAACAUCAACAUCACUCUCUCACCAAACACCAACAUCACUCACUCACCAAACACCAACAUCAACAUCACCCCCUCACCAAACACCAACACCAACAUCACUCACCAAACAUCAACAUCACUCUCUCACCAAACACCAUCACUCUCUCACCAAACACCAACAUCAACAUCACUCACCAAACACCAACAUCACCCUCUCACCAAACACCAACACCAACAUCACUCACCAAACACCAACACCAACAUCACCCCCUCACCAAACACCAACAUCACUCUCUCACCAAACACCAACAUCACUCUCUCACCAAACACCAACAUCAACAUCUCUCACCAACACCAACAUCAACAUCACUCACCAAACACCAACAUCACUCACCAAACACCAAACACCAACAUCACUCACCAAACACCAACAUCACCCCCUCACCAAACACCAACAUCACUCACUCACCAAACACCAACAUCACUCACUCACCAAACACCAACAUCACUCACCAAACACCAACAUCACUCACCAAACACCAACAUCACUCACUCACCAAACACCAACAUCACUCACUCACCAAACACCAACACCACUCACCAAACACCAACAUCAACAUCACUCACUCACUAAACACCAACAUCACUCACUCACUCACCAAACACCAACAUCACCCCCUCACCAAACACCAACAUCACUCACUCACCAAACACCAACAUCACUCACCAAACACCAACAUCAACAUCACGCCCUCACCAAACACCAACAUCACUCACUCACCAAACACCAACAUCACUCACCAAACACCAACAUCACUCACUCACCAAACACCAACAUCACUCCCUCACCAAACACCAAACACCAACAUCACUUCCUCACCAAACACCAACAUCACUCACCAAACACCAACAUCAACAUCACUCACCAAACACCAAACACCAACAUCACUCCCUAACCAAAACCCCUCCCUUGCUCAUCUCACUCAGGGAGUUUAUGAACACCAAGGCGCUGCCUCCAUCACCAUGUGUGUGUGUGUGUGUGUGUGUGUGUGUGUGUGUGUGUGUGUAGAUCCACAAGGCCAGGCUAUUGAGCUUCUCAGGUGUGUGUGUGUCUGUGUGUGUGUGUGUGUGUGUGUGUGUCUGUGUGUGUGUGUGUGUGUAGAUCCACAAGGCCAGGCUCUUGAGCUUCUCAGGUGUGUGUGUGUGUGUGUGUAUGUGUCUCUCUGUGUGUGUGUGUGUGUGUGUGUGUGUGUGUGUAGAUCCACAAGGCCAGGCUAUUGAGCUUCUCAGGUAUGUGUGUGUGUGUGUGUCUGUGUGUGUGUGUGUGUGUGUGUGUGUGUGUGUGUGUGUGUGUGUGUGGAUAUCCUCAAGGCCAGCCUCUUGAGCUUCUGUUGCUUCUCAGCUAUGUGUCAUGGUGGCCGAUUUGAAAUAAAAAGCUGUUGUCUGGAUGUUUGGAUUAGUGAAGGUAGACGGCUUAAUGCUAGCGCAAGACUAGUUGUGUAACACAAGAUAAUGCCUUGUUUUGAAGUGUAUGUGUGUUCACGUGCAUGUGUGUGUGUGUGUGUGUACGUGCAUCUCUGUGUGUGUGUGGUGUGUGUACGUGCAUCUGCGUGCCGGUGUGUGUGCGUGCAUGUGUUU